UACGUAGGUCCCGAGUGUUGUCCGGAUUUAUUGGGCGUAAAGCGAGCGCAGGUGGUUUAUUAAGUCUGGUGUAAAAGGCAGUGGCUCAACCAUUGUAUGCAUUGGAAACUGGUAGACUUGAGUGCAGGAGAGGAGAGUGGAAUUCCAUGUGUAGCGGUGAAAUGCGUAGAUAUAUGGAGGAACACCGGUGGCGAAAGCGGCUCUCUGGCCUGUAACUGACGCUGAGGCUCGAAAGCGUGGGGAGCAAACAGG
rnacentral:rRNA from 1 species